ACUUUCAACAACGGAUCUCUUGGCUCUCGCAUCGAUGAAAAACGCACCGAAAUGCGAUAAUUAUUGUGAAUUGCAUAAUUUUGUGAAUCAUCGAAUCUUUGAACGCAAAUUGCACUCCCUGGUUAUUCCGGGGAGUAUGCCUGUUUGAGGGGGGUCGUU
rnacentral:rRNA from 1 species